rnacentral:rRNA from 1 species
UACGGAGGGGGCUAGCGUUGUUCGGAAUUACUGGGCGUAAAGCGCGCGUAGGCGGACCUGCAAGUCGGGGGUGAAAGCCCGAGGCUCAACCUCGGAACUGCCUUCGAUACUGCGGGUCUCGAGUCCGAGAGAGGUGAGUGGAAUUCCUAGUGUAGAGGUGAAAUUCGUAGAUAUUAGGAAGAACACCAGUGGCGAAGGCGGCUCACUGGCUCGGUACUGACGAUGAGGCGCGAAAGCGUGGGGAGCAAACAGG